UUAUGGCGUCAGGAUGAACGCUAGCGGCAGGCUUAACACAUGCAAGUCGAGGGGCAGCGCGGGGUAGCAAUACUCUGGCGGCGACCGGCGAAAGGGUGAGUAACGCGUGAGCAACAUGCCCGAUAGAGGGGGAUAGUCAUUGGAAACGAUGUGUAAUACCCCGUAACAUUCGGAACCGCAUGAUUCUGAAUUGAAAGAUUUAUUGCUAUCGGAUUGGCUCGCGUACCAUUAGCUAGUUGGCGGGGUAACGGCCCACCAAGGCGACGAUGGUUAGGGGUUCUGAGAGGAAGGUCCCCCACAUUGGAACUGAGACACGGUCCAGACUCCUACGGGAGGCAGCAGUGAGGAAUAUUGGACAAUGGCCGAGAGGCUGAUCCAGCCAUGCCGCGUGCGGGAGGACGGCCCUAUGGGUUGUAAACCGCUUUUGUUGGGGAGCAAUAAGUCUUACGUGUAAGAUGAUGAGAGUACCCAGCGAAUAAGCAUCGGCUAACUCCGUGCCAGCAGCGGC
rnacentral:rRNA from 1 species